CCCUUAGAUGUUCUGGGCCGCACGCGCGCUACACUGACGGAGGCAGCGAGCAUGUCCUUCGCCGAGAGGUGUGGGGAAUCUUGUGGGUCUCCGUCGUGCUGGGGAUAGAUGGUUGCAAUUGUCGAUCUUGAACGAGGAAUUCCUAGUAAGCGCGAGUCAUCAGCUCGCGCUGAUUACGUCCCUGCCCUUUGUACACACCGCCCGUCGCUACUACCGAUUGGAUGGCUUAGCGAGAAUUUUGGAUCGGAGCCCGGGUGGUCGGCAACGGUCGCCCGGGAGAUCUGAGAAAUCAUUCCAGCUUGGUCAUCUAGAGGAAGUAAAAGUCGUAACA
rnacentral:rRNA from 1 species